rnacentral:rRNA from 1 species
UACAGAGGGGGGCAAGCGUUAUUCGGAAUUAUUGGGCGUAAAGGGCGCGUAGGCGGCUUGGCAAGUGGAUGGUGAAAUCCCUCGGCUUAACCGAGGAACGGCCGUCCAAACUGCUUCGCUUGAGACCGGGAGAGGUGAGUGGAAUUCCCCAGUGUAGCGGUGAAAAUGCGUAGAUAUUGGGGAGGAACACCAGUGGCGAAGGCGGCUCACUGGACCGGUACUGACGCUGAAGCGCGAAAAGCGUGGGGGAGCAAACGGG